AUGCUCGCUUCGGCAGCACAUAUACUAAAAUUGGAACAAUACAGAGAAGAUUAUCAUGCCCCCCUGCACAAGAAUGACAUGCAAAUUCGUGAAGUAUUCCAUAUUUUU
ensembl:snRNA Gm25186 predicted gene, 25186